UGACAUCACGAAGUACAGUGCUCUCCAGUCCUCGCCCUGGCUCAGGACCCGUGAACCCACUUUGCACGUGGGCCGGGCACGCCACUUUUCCCAGUCAGGGACCUGAGCCCCAGCGCGCGCCCCCGAGGGCCCCGCGGAAAUGCCCUGGCCCACCCGCCGGAAGUGACGUAACGCCACGUCCUAGCAACCGUUGCCAAGGAGCUCGUCUCUAGGAAUCCACUAGAGCCUGGAUGCCUCCUGCGGGGGGGAAAAAAGUGGUUUCUUGACGAGAAUUUGAGUUAUAAGACCUAAUUAUGAGCGAUCAAAUCAAAUUCAUUGUGGACAAUCUCAAUAAGGAGCCUUUUAGGAAGAACUAUAAUUUAAUAACAUUUGAUUCCCUGGAGCCAAUGCAACUAUUGCAAAUUCUCAAUGAUGUUCUGGCUGAGAUUGACCCAAAGCAAGUUGUUGAUAUCAGAGAGGAGAUGCCAGAGCAUACAGCCAAAAGGAUGUUGAGCCUUCUUGGUAUCCUUAAAUACAAACCUCCAGGAAAUGCUACAGACAUGAGUACCUUUCGUCAGGGUCUGGUGAUUGGAAGUAAACCUGUAAUUUACCCAGUGCUCCACUGGCUUCUUCAGAGGACUAAUGAACUGAAGAAAAGAGCAUAUUUAGCUCGUUUUUUAAUAAAACUUGAGGUACCAAGUGAGUUUCUUCAGGAUGAAACAGUGGCUGAUACCAAUAAACAGUAUGAAGAGCUGAUGGAAGCCUUUAAAACUUUGCAUAAAGAAUGUGAGCAACUCAAGACAUCUGGAUUUUCUACAGCAGAAAUAAGAAGGGAUAUCAGUGCAAUGGAGGAUGAAAAGGAUCAGCUCAUUAAGAGAGUUGAACGUUUGAAGAAAAGGGUGGAGACAGUUCAGAAUCAUCAACGGAUGCUUAAAAUAGCAAGGCAACUUCGAGUUGAAAAAGAGAGAGAAGAAUUUCUUGCACAACAGAAACAGGAACAAAAGAAUCAGCUAUUUCAUGCGGUGCAGAGACUGCAAAGAGUACAAAAUCAGCUGAAAAGUAUGCGCCACGCAGCAGCAGAUGCAAAGCCUGAAAGUUUAAUGAAGAGACUAGAGGAAGAGAUAAAGUUUAAUUCUUAUAUGGUAACUGAAAAAUUUCCUAAAGAAUUAGAGAGCAAGAAAAAAGAAUUGCAUUUUCUACAAAAAGUGGUUUCAGAGCCUGCCAUGGGCCAUUCUGAUCUUCUUGAACUAGAAUCUAACAUAAAUGAAAUAAACACACAGAUAAAUCAGCUGAUUGAAAAGAAAAUGAUGAGAAAUGAGCCAAUUGAAGGCAAACUCUCACUAUACAGGCAACAGGCAUCCAUCAUUUCUCGUAAAAAAGAAGCCAAAGCUGAGGAACUUCAGGAAGCGAAGGAGAAGUUAGCCAGCCUAGAGAGAGAGGUAUCAGUGAAGACAAAUCAGACCCGCGAAUUUGAUGGUACUGAAGUUUUGAAGGGAGACGAGUUCAAACGAUAUGUCAGUAAACUUCGAAGCAAGAGUACAGUUUUCAAAAAGAAGCAUCAAAUAAUAGCUGAAUUUAAAGCUGAAUUCGGCCUCUUGCAGAGGACAGAAGAACUUCUUAAGCAACGGCAUGAAAAUAUUCAACAUCAACUGCGAACUAUUGAAGAGAAAAAGGGCAUAUCUGGAUAUAGUUACACUCAGGAAGAGCUGGAAAGGGUAUCUGCACUGAAGAGUGAAGUCGACGAAAUGAAAGGCCGAACGCUAGAUGACAUGUCUGAAAUGGUAAAAAAACUGAAUUCACUGGUGUCUGAAAAGAAGUCAGCUCUAGCCCCAGUUAUAAAAGAACUACGACAGUUGCGUCAGAAAUGUCAAGAACUAACCCAGGAGUGUGAUGAAAAGAAAUCCCAGUAUGAUAGCUGUGCAGCAGGCCUCGAAAGCAAUCGGUCCAAAUUAGAACAGGAAGUCAGAGGACUCCGUGAAGAAUGUCUUCAGGAAGAAAGUAGAUACCAUUACACAAAUUGUAUGAUUAAGAACCUAGAAGUACAACUUCGUCGUGCUACUGAUGAGAUGAAGGCUUAUGUUUCUUCUGAUCAACAAGAAAAAAGAAAGGCAAUUAGGGAGCAGUAUACAAAAAAUAUUGCUGAACAGGAAAACCUUGGAAAGAAACUCCGAGAAAAACAAAAAGCUGUACGAGAAAGUCAUGGUCCAAAUAUGAAACAAGCGAAAAUGUGGCGUGAUUUUGAACAAUUGAUGGAAUGUAAGAAACAGUGCUUUCUGAAACAACAAAGCCAAACUUCCAUUGGUCAGAAACUCCUCCAACUGCACAAAACUUCUGAAUUGUGCUUUUUUAAGAUAUGAAAAAGGAAAAUAUGAUGAUACCUACAAAAUACUCCCAAGACCUGUAGUGCUCAAAGAAGAUUUUAGUGAUGGAAAAGUCUCAGAGAAAAGGUCUAGAAACCAGAUCCCAGGGCCUGGAAUGUUUCUGUCUAGUCCCUAAGAUGCAUCUUUUCCUGUUACCAAAAGGUCUGAGACACCCAGUUGGUAAUCAGAAGCUCUUACAGGGAGCCUGGAAAGUAGCUGCAGACUCUUAUGGCAUUUUUACUUCCAAGUAUGAGGCUGGAUCUUAAGAGGAGCCUAAGAUAAAGGUGUGUGUCUGUCCACCAGCUCUACCAAGUGCUAUGCUACACGCUUCACUUGAGGAAAGCUGCCUGAGGUGGUAUUUUGGAAGACCUGUGAUAACUCUGAAUCAUGAAACUGGAGGAACAGAACAAAUCACAAGUUAAAACAUACCUAACGUCUGCCAGAAAGUACCCGCUGAGAGCAUCAUUAGCCUGAAGUCUGGAUCUAAUGCACUAAACCCUUCCCUUCCCUCUUAACCCCAAUCUCUUUAAUUGACAUUUAGUUGCCUGUGGUCAGAUCUCUUUCAAUCCCAGUGUCUACAGGCUCCUGAUCUUGGGCGACUGGGACAGCUAGUCCUAUCUUUUCUUAGGCCCACUCUUGCUUUAUUUCCCUUUUUUUGGUGUGUGCAUACUGCUUUAAUUGGGCAAUCAUUAUGCCAUUCUCCCAUUAACGUCGGUGGGGAAGUGAGUAAUCAAACUCUCAAUUGUAAACUUCGGUAAGAUAAGGUCAGCAAGACGUGUGGUCCUGAGAUGGCACCCCGCACCCGCAAGGGAAAAUGACUCUCGGUGGCUCUCAUUGUUUUGGGGCUUGUUUGCGUUGCUGUGCACUUGUAAUGGAAAACGAAUAAAAAUAAAAAUCCCGGAGCCCAUUUUGGCGCGCGCUUGGGAAGUUAAUCCCACUGUCCUGGCAGAAUUCCAGCUCAGGUCACUGCAUUCUGCUGGCGGAAGCCGCCUCAUGCGGUUUUCAGUGGAUGUCACUUUCUUCUUUGCAUCCUUCUCAGGGCUCCGUGUGCAGCGCAUUCAACAGCUGGCCCUUCCCCACCUGCAGGAGCUACAGUUCUGCAGAACUCAGAAUGACCCCUGCCUCUUCCCCGGGCAGGAAAUUAACCUCCUCCAAGGACCAGCCACUGAGAUAUUUGCUACAGUCAAGAUCUAUAUGAAUGUGUCUUUCUCUGAGUGCCUUUAAGCAGCCACAGAAUCAGAUUACUCUCCUUAAAAGAUUUUUCAAGGAAUCACACAGUUUCUUACAAGUCUCUAAUGCAUAUAUUCCCUCCAUUUGUUUUGUAACGUUUUGUUAUGCAAACUAAAAAUGUCUCCUUAUCUGAAGUACUUAGAAAUUUAUCUCCCUUCCACCCAUAUAUGCUUAUUGUUGCUGCUUUUGUUUUCACAGAUUUUUUUUUCUAGUGUUUAACUCUUUCCCCUAUGAAGUGUAUUGCAUUUUAUGGUGCGAGGAAUGGUUCUAACUAGUUGUUCCCCCAUACAAAUAAUCUUCUGUUCUUAACAAUGUUUACUGAAUGGCAGUUUCCAAUUGUGUGUCUUCCGCACAUGACUUAAACCUGUCUGACCAUCAGCUUUCAGGAUCCGGGGAGAUAGGAAUGACACCUACCUGACAGGCUUAUCCCAAGGAUGGAGUAAGCCAGCACGUGAAAAGGUCCUAGCACGUUGCAUGCAUGGCAGAUAUGUGUUUAAUAAAUGAUGUCUUCCUUCUAGUCUCCUUUCCUUCCUUUUUGUCUGCAUCCGCCUAUUUUCUCCUAGAGCCCUUUUAUGUACCACUGAAAUCAAGCGUCUCUAGAAUGAUCCAAAUGUUGUCUAUCCCAGGUUAUAUAUUAGGAAGCUACUAAGUAGAAAGGUUGGGGGAAGUGGAGGAGGUAGAGGGCAGUGAAGACACUUUUCUUCAAGGAACCCCACCUAACAACACUUGCACUUUCUUUGCUUGCAAAUGACAGGCUGUUUCUGCAGCCUCCUCUGUCCCCACGUCAGAGGAUCCCUCUUAGAGGCUGCUCUUCUGAGGCCUUAAAAUGCUCCCCUCCCCGAGUUGCCAUGUCAGAUGUUUAAGGGAAAUCUGAUUUUUUAAGGACAAGGCUCUAUGUGUGGGUUGUUUUAUUUCGGGGGUAGGGUGGGGGUAGGAGUUGGCCAUGGGUUUGCUGCAUUCCAGGAAGAGGGAGGACUCUGCUCUCCUCCGAUGAGUCAUGGAAGAGAAACGUCUAAUGUUUGCAAACAUCUCCAGCCAAGCCUUUGCUUUCUUGGGCUCCACCCAUCCCCCCCACAUCUGUGCAGAUUGGACCCACCUGAGAAGAUUCAAAAGCGAAGCUUGAAGGCUAAAGCAGAGGCUGUGGAUUCUACCACCAUUUGAAAUGGAAAACCACUAAGGGAAGGAAGGGGAAGCAGUACCCUUGUAUCUGGACUCCAGCAUGUGAGACACGGGACAAGACCUUACAUUGGGUGUAUCUGUCUCCAAAUCAGGACAUGAUCUGGGUGGUGCAGGAGCACUGAGUGAAUGAACAAGGCUGUCCCAAGAGGCGUCUGCAAAAGGACUGGGAGACUGAGAGAAGCCUCUGGUGGGAGAAAGGAGCAAAGGGGAUUGCAGAGAAGAAAGCAAGGGCUAGGAAGAGGGGAAGCCUUGCAAGUGGGAGAAGCCAGGAGCUGCUGCUUUCGGGGGAGGAUGAAGGCCGAGCGGGCUGGUGAGAGACCGGAGCAGGCGGGGGUGUGCGGGCGAGGACCAUCGCCUCAGCCUCGGCAGACUGCUGGAGCCAGAUGGGGCUCAUGAUGCAUCCUUCCAGAUGGAACGGAUCAGGCUCGUCAGACAUGCUUCCCUCAGGAUACACAGUGUCCCCCUCCCUCCCCCUCUCUGAAAUCAGGAGAGAAUCACAAGGUGACUUGGGAGGGCAGCCAGCCUCCAGGGAUCUUGUGUGAACUAUCAGGUAACCACAGCGGGAUCACAAUAGGAGACCUAAACAUGCCUCCACCACCACCACCCCCUUUUUUUUUUCUAUUGUGGGACAUCAAGGGAGCAAGCUCAUGAGCUUGGGAACAAAGAUCCUAUUCUAGGAAUUUGUCCACUGCAACCCUACCCGGCACAUUCACAAGCCUUGGAUUUCUGCCCGACGGAAACUCUACCUGCUCACUGUGCCCCCACCACCGCCAGAGCAACACCCCGGCACCUGGCAGGGAAGGGAGACUCUGAGUGGCUCAUCAUUUAAAAUUAAAAAUCACAUUUAAUCACUGUU